UACGGGGGGAGCAAGCGUUGUUCGGAUUUACUGGGCGUAAAGGGCGCGUAGGCGGCCACCGCAAGUCGACUGUGAAAUCUCCGGGCUUAACCCGGAAAGGUCAGCCGAUACUGCGGGGCUAGAGUGCAGAAGGGGCAACUGGAAUUCUCGGUGUAGCGGCGAAAUGCGUAGAUAUCGAGAGGAACACCUGCGGCGAAGGCGGGUUGCUGGGCUGACACUGACGCUGAUGUGCGAAAGCUAGGGGAGCGAACGGG
rnacentral:rRNA from 1 species